rnacentral:rRNA from 1 species
GACGAACGCUGGCGGCGUGCCUAAUACAUGCAAGUAGGACGCUGAAGAGAGGAGCUUGCUCUUCUUGGAUGAGUUGCGAACGGGUGAGUAACGCGUAGGUAACCUGCCUUGUAGCGGGGGAUAACUAUUGGAAACGAUAGCUAAUACCGCAUAACAAUGGAUGACACAUGUCAUUUAUUUGAAAGGGGCAAUUGCUCCACUACAAGAUGGACCUGCGUUGUAUUAGCUAGUAGGUGAGGUAAUGGCUCACCUAGGCGACGAUACAUAGCCGACCUGAGAGGGUGAUCGGCCACACUGGGACUGAGACACGGCCCAGACUCCUACGGGAGGCAGCAGUAGGGAAUCUUCGGCAAUAGGGGCAACCCUGACCGAGCAACGCCGCGUGAGUGAAGAAGGUUUUCGGAUCGUAAAGCUCUGUUGUAAGUCAAGAACGGGUGUGAGAGUGGAAAGUUCACACUGUGACGGUAGCUUACCAGAAAGGGACGGCUAACUACGUG